UUCACCCGUUCGCCCGGAUCUCCUCUCCCUCUCCCUGUUUUGCACGGCCCGACGCAGCCCCCUCCUCUCUCGGCUUCUCCUCGCCCAAACCCCUCUCUCUCCCCCUUCUCUUCUUCCUCUUCCGCCAGCAGCACCGACACCCACUUCUCUUCCUUCUUCUUCUCUUCGGUUUCCACCUGCUGGCCGAGUAAGUGCUGCUGCCGAGAGUGACCUAGCCGUGAGUGUUCCAGAUCGAGAUGGAGAGUGAACCUGGAUUUUUACAGAAAAUCUGUGGGAUCGUGUCAUCAUUGGAGGCUUCAAUGGGUCCUUCAAUGUAGAGUUGGAGUUGUGAGUCCAAUGCAGCCAGAUAGUGUUCCUUUGGCUGCAGGUACUCGGGUCGUAGUUGAUGGGAGUGUAGACGUGCAUUUGAGAUAUUAUGACCGGAGCUCGCCGCGACGGUCGUAAAUGCGGGACCAUGGGCGUCCUCAGUUUUAUAGGUUUUGUUAUGGCUUGUGACGCAUGUGUCACUUGUUAUUGUAUAAAGCCAUUUCUGUUAUGUAUUUAUAUUGAGGAAAGACUUAAACACAUAGAUGUUAAAUGGCUCUUGUUGUUAUUAAUUUAUGAUAGAUGUUUAAGAUGUGAUUUCCGCUA